rnacentral:rRNA from 1 species
UACGAAAGGGGCUAGCGAUGGUCGGAAUUACUGGGCGUAAAGCGCGCGUAGGCGGCCUUGUAAGAUAGGGGUGAAAUCCCCGGGCUCAACCCGGGAACUGCCUUCAUGACUGCAAAGCUAGAGGAUGCGAGAGGUUAGCGGAAUUCCGAGUGUAGAGGUGAAAUUCGUAGAUAUUCGGAAGAACACCAGUGGCGAAGGCGGCUAACUGGCGCAUUUCUGACGCUGAGGUGCGAAAGCGUGGGGAGCAAACAGG